rnacentral:rRNA from 1 species
CUAGUAGCGGCGAGCGAAGCGGGAAGAGCUCAAAUUUAUAAUCUGGCACCUUCGGUGUCCGAGUUGUAAUCUCUAGAAAUGUUUUCCGCGUUGGACCGCACACAAGUCUGUUGGAAUACAGCGGCAUAGUGGUGAGACCCCCGUAUAUGGUGCGGACGCCCAGCGCUUUGUGAUACAUUUUCGAAGAGUCGAGUUGUUUGGGAAUGCAGCUCAAAUUGGGUGGUAAAUUCCAUCUAAAGCUAAAUAUUGGCGAGAGACCGAUAGCGAACAAGUACCGUGAGGGAAAGAUGAAAAGCACUUUGGAAAGAGAGUUAACAGUACGUGAAAUUGUUGGAAGGGAAACGCUUGAAGUCAGACUUGCUUGCCGAGCAAUCGGUUUGCAGGCCAGCAUCAGUUUUCCGGGAUGGAUAAUGGUAGAGAGAAGGUAGCAGUUUCGGCUGUGUUAUAGCUCUCUGCUGGAUACAUCUUGGGGGACUGAGGAACGCAGUGUGCCUUUGGCGGGGGUUUCGACCUCUUCACACUUAGGAUGCUGGUGGAAUGGCUUUAAACGGUCCGUCUUAAC